rnacentral:siRNA from 1 species
AUAUCAAACGGCCAUACACGU